rnacentral:rRNA from 1 species
GAUGAACGCUGGCGGCGUGCCUAAUACAUGCAAGUCGAGCGAAUGGAUUAAGAGCUUGCUCUUAUGAAGUUAGCGGCGGACGGGUGAGUAACACGUGGGUAACCUGCCCAUAAGACUGGGAUAACUCCGGGAAACCGGGGCUAAUACCGGAUAACAUUUUGAACCGCAUGGUUCGGAAUUGAAAGGCGGCUUCGGCUGUCACUUAUGGAUGGACCCGCGUCGCAUUAGCCAGUUGGUGAGGUAACGGCUAACCAAGGCAACGAUGCGUAGCCGGCCUGGGAGGGUGAGCGGCGACACUGGGAAUGGGACACGGCGCGGACUGCUACGGGGGGCAGCAGUAGGGAAUCUUCCGCGAUGGACGAAAGUCGGACGGAGCAACGCCGCGUGAGUGAUGAAGGCUUUCGGGUCGUAAAACUCUGUUGUUAGGGAAGAACAAGUGCUAGUUGAAUAAGCUGGCACCUUGACGGUACCUAACCAGAAAGCCACGGCUAACUACGUGCCAGCCGCCGCGGUAA